rnacentral:lncRNA from 1 species
GAAACAAUACUGCAGUAUUGAGUAUCUCGAAAGUAUAUUGAAGAUUGUUUGAUAAAUUAGCAUUUUGGUUUUUAAAUUUGACUUCUUUCAUUUGUGUGAAAUACCAAUUGUGACAAUCUUAGUGAAACAUAGGAAGUAAUAGUUUGAACCUUCAGCCUUGUUCUUGUUAUUUUAUACAUUAUGAUUUGGGUCUAUGAUUUUUUUUUGGGUGUAUUAUCUACUGCAUUACUUAAAUUGUCUCUCGAUCAAGAAAUGUAAAGAAAAG